CGCGGGGGUAGUGGUCCGGGGGCGCGGCUCUGGCCGGGGGUUAAACCUCCUUCCAGCCUCUGCCCCGAGAGGGUUUAACACCUGGAGUUCCCGCCUGCGAUUUCUCUCUUGCGGCCCCUUGGGAAAGGGAAUGGCAGAUUGACUCUGAACUUGGCAAAGGACUUAUAACGCUUUAGUAUUUAAAUGAAGGAGUGGGUCUGAAGAAGACCGAGGAUCUGUAAAACAAUCUUAUUUAAGCCUUCAGCUACCAGAGGCUGUGACAUAAACCCCAGGAAUUGAUUGAGAAGUAAUAGGUAGUUUUGAGGGCUUUUAUUUAAAGAACAAAGAUAGGAAGCUUUGCCUCGCUGUGUUUAUAAAAGCGAGGGAAGCCCCCACCCGUAAUAUUUAGAAACACCUGGAGCCGACAAUGCUCUGGCAGCGUCCUGAAAUAAACUAAAGAAGCUGUUCACUCUGCUAUAAUCUGACAAUCUUUGAAAAAUGUUUUUCAGAGGUGGAGGCGUCUUAAAAUUUAGACAUCAAGUGAGGACACAGAAAGAAAACACAGGCCUGUAACCCAGGAAGUGGAUUUCACCGGAAACUGAAUCUGCUGACACCUUGAACUUGGACUUCUCAGAUUCCAGAACGAAGGAGAGCCCAGGAAGCUAUAUUUAAAAACAAACAAACAAAAAAAAUGAGAUGAGCGUCGCAUGCACUUGACUUGCAGAACUACUGACUUAAAAAUAAUACCAGAGGAAUGGCCUGCUUGGAAAAUCCCCCAGUGAUGCUUUCACACAUUCAUCGAACCUUUCAUACUUACUACGCUCUUUAUCUGGAAUAUGUUCCAAACCAUUACCUCAUCCAAGACUCUCCCAGAUGAAGGAAUGGGCCUCAGAUGUCACAGAUAAGAGGUGGUAGGUCCCAGACACAAAGCUGGACAACUGGUUCCAGAGUCCAUACUCUUCACUCUGCAUUGCUGCCUAUUCCAGAACUCAGCAGUUAGUAGCUUCAAGAACAAGUAGACUAUUCACUAUCAUCCAGGUAUAAUAAUUUGUCGAUUGGAACUGUUUGGCCUCAAGAGGGCAAGCUUUGCAAAUUCAAUCCGGCUGAAUUGACAGAAAAAGUCCUGGAAU